AAAAAAACACAAAGUAAGCCGCAAACGCAAAGGGAAUGAAACAAACAAAAUUGGCGAGGAGAAAGUCGAUUAUAGUCGCAACCCCAGUCAACAUUUAUGAUUUAUGGAGGAAGUGGAAUUGGCGGUGAAGAAAGAACAUGUACAAAUUGGUGUGAUUUUGUGGUGGAUUCUAGGGUUGUGGAUGAAGCAAAGAAGAUUAAUUGGUGUGAUUUUUGAAUGAAUGAAUGAGAGUGAAGAAGCUUUCUUCCAAGACUGUGAUGAUUCUUCAAGAAUCACAUUGUUUCAGCCUUAGGAGAGAAUCUCAAAUACUAUUUGGUAAACGGAAUAAAAAGGGGGAAGUUAUCGGAGAAGAUGGAUAUGCUAUUUCGUAAUAACAUACAACCUGUUGAGAGCGAUUUUUCAUGAUUCUGGUAUCAUGGUUCAAGAUUCUUAAAGAAUUACAUUGUUACAGUCUUAGUGGAGAAUCUCUAAUGCUUCAGGAUCGCUUGGAUGAACCUGUCAUCUCGCACAAUUCAGUAUGUGCCAAUCCUUGGUAAAGAUCAAAAGCCGGUUGAAAGCGACUUGCAUGAUUUUGGGAUCAAGGGAGAGGGAUGGCUGUAGGGGUUGCAAUGAAAUUGAAAAAAAAUGGGUUUGUAAAUGCUUGCUCCCAAAGUGAGUGUCUUCAUUCUUCAUAAAUUGUAUUAUUGAACAAGUUAUACUGGUUAGCUUGAUUUAUUGUUUGAUUCAAUAGUUGUAGACUUUGCAACUGAAAUUCAUUUAUGAAUUUUUCGCUUUGGUCUGUCUUUUGUGCUGGCACUUAAAGACAGGCAGGCAAGCAUGAAUAUAGAAAACUGAUUGCAACAAGAUUGAUCAAACCGACUUUUUUAUAUUUGGUCUAGUGUAUGAUUUUGGCAUGAAUAUAGAAGAAACCAUUAUGUAUA